AACGAACGCUGGCGGCAGGCUUAACACAUGCAAGUCGAACGGGCGUAGCAAUACGUCAGUGGCGGACGGGUGAGUAACACGUGGGAAUAUGCCUUUCGGUUCGGAACAACUCGGGGAAACCCGUGCUAAUUCCGGAUACGCCCUUACGGGGAAAGAUUUAUCGCCGAAAGAUUAGCCCGCGUUGGAUUAGCUAGUUGGUGAGGUAAAGGCGUCACCAAGGCGACGAUCCAUAGCUGGUUUGAGAGAACGACCAGCCACACUGGACUGAGACACGGCCCAGACUCCUACGGGAGGCAGCAGUGGGGAAUCUUGGACAAUGGGCGCAAGCCUGAUCCAGCCAUG
rnacentral:rRNA from 1 species